GAUGAACGCUGGCGGCGUGCCUAAUACACGCAAGUCGAGCGAACGGACGAGAAGCUUGCUUUUCUGAUGUUAGCGGCGGACGGGUGAGUAACACGUGGAUAACCUACCUAUAAGACUGGGAUAACUUCGGGAAACCGGAGCUAAUACCGGAUAAUAUUUUGAACCGCAUGGUUCAAAAGUGAAAGACGGUCUUGCUGUCACUUAUAGAUGGAUCCGCGCUGCAUUAGCUAGUUGAUAAGGUAACGGCUUACCAAGGCAACGAUGCAUAGCCGACCUGAGAGGGUGAUCGGCCACACUGGAACUGAGACACGGUCCAGACUCCUACGGGAGGCAGCAGUAGGGAAUCUUCCGCAAUGGGCGAAAGCCUGACGGAGCAACGCCGCGUGAGCGAUGAAGGUCUUCGGAUCGUAAAACUCUGUUAUUAGGGAAGAACAUAUGUGUAAGUAACUGUGCACAUCUUGACGGUACCUAAUCAGAAAGCCACGGCUAACUACGUG
rnacentral:rRNA from 1 species